rnacentral:rRNA from 1 species
CAGCUAGCUUACCCAUCAAAGUAAUCAAACAAUAUAAAUAAAAAUAAAUAAACCAAACACCAAAAACUAAACCAUUCUUUUACCUGAGUAUGGGAGACAGAAAAGGUUCAACCAAAGCAAUAGAGAUAGUACCGCAAGGGAAAGCUGAAAGAGAAAUGAAAUAACCCAUAUAAGCAACAAAAAGCAAAGACUAAACCUUGUACCUUUUGCAUCAUGAUUUAGCUAGUAAACACAAGCAAAGAGACCUUUAGUUUGAAACCCCGAAACCAGGUGAGCUACCCCGAGACAGCCUAUUAGGGCCAACCCGUCUCUGUGGCAAAAGAGUGGGAAGAACUCCGGGUAGAAGUGACAGACCUACCGAACCUGGUGAUAGCUGGUUACCUAAGAAAUGAAUAGAAGUUCAGCCUCGCACACCUCAAAUCAAACAAACACAUAUUAAAAUAUUAAGAGAAAAAUACGAGAGUUAGUUGAAGGGGGUACAGCCCCUUUAACAAAGGACACAACCUUGCCAGGAGGAUAAAGAUCAUAAUAUACAAAAUAUACUGUUCUAGUGGGCCCAAAAGCAGCCACCUAAACAGAAAGCGUUAAAGCUCAGACAGAAAAAAAUUUAUUAUUCAGAUAAAAAAUCUCACUCCCCUAGACACUAUUAGGCCAACCCAUGCCCACAUGGAAGAAAUUAUGCUAAAAUGAGUAACAAGAAGGCCCACCCUUCUCCCAGCACAAGUGUAAGCCAAAUCGGACCAACCAUUGGCAACUAACGAACUCAACCCAAGAGAGUAAUGUGAACCGCAAAAAAAACAAGAAAAACCCACAACCAAACAAUCGUUACCCCCACACUGGAGUGCCGCCCAUGGGAAAGACUAAAAGAAAAGGAAGGAACUCGGCAAACACAAGCCCCGCCUGUUUACCAAAAACAUCGCCUCCUGCAACACCACAUAUAGGAGGUCCAACCUGCCCAGUGACUACAAGUUCAACGGCCGCGGUAUUUUGACCGUGCAAAGGUAGCGCAAUCACUUGUCUUUUAAAUAGAGACCUGUAUGAAUGGCCAAACGAAGGCUUAACUGUCUCCCUUUUCAAGUCAGUGAAAUUGAUCUAUCCGUGCAGAAGCG